ACAGCCCAUGAAGCACUGAGUCCUGCCAAAAGCCACGUGCAUGAGCUUAGAAGAGCUUCAUCCUCCAGGCUAGGAAAGAGACAGUCGGUGUGCAGCAAGAGAAAAGAGAGGAGGAAACAUGUGGAAAGACCCAAAGGAUGAAGACACAAGAGCAUGCCUGAAUGCAAUGGGAAGUAGAUCAGUUGACCUUUGCUGAAUAACAAGGUGGACCUAAAACUGGGUGACUUGAAACAGCCCAUAAUCCUGUGGACCUAAAGGUUGCUGUAUGAAGU
rnacentral:lncRNA from 1 species